UCUUAAGAUAAUGGUGUGUGUGUUGUCAUAAUGCUGGUGGUUUGUGAAAGGCCAGUAUCUCUCUCUCUCUCUUCCUCUCUCCUCCUCUCUUCCUCUCUUCCUCUGAGGUACGCAUGCAUCCAGGUACAGCGGAUGGAUGGAUAGACAGAGGUAUAAACAAGGAAAGAAAAAAAAAACAACAACAACAACAACUGCACUAAAGGUUUAAGAACACAAAACCGACAUAACAUACAACAUGAAAUCACUCGUCAGCGGUACGUGAAA